CAGACUGAGAAUGCGGAUGGUGCCUACCUGCUUUGUGUCUGUUGCUGUUGCUGUGAGAGUGUGACGUGCUUUGAAGUUUCCACCUGAGUGCAGGACUGCACACAAACUGCACUGGCUAUAGAGGCUGGAUUGGUUUACAACACUUAAUGGGGAAAAAACGCAUGGUGAGGCUUCAGGAUGGAGUCGAUAGGAAAGAAUAAAAGAGACAACUAAGAAAGACCCCCUAUUAUUGAUUACAGCUGGAGAGGAAUACUUAAGAUGGGAGUCCAUAAAGACAGCGAUGAGAGAUCUCUGGCUAACCUUCUGUCGACUCCAGCGCUCCAGAGAGAGAAAGUGAGUGAGUACAGUGAGAGUUCCUGUCGAUGUCAUUGGUGUUCACUGGGCUAGUCUGGGUGGAGACUG